ACAUUUCUUUAAGUUAAAAUUUAAGGUAGUUUCUGCCCUAUGAUUUUAAUUUUAAAUGGCUGCAGUAUUUUGACUGUGCAAAGGUAGCAUAAUAAUUAGUUUCUUAAUUAGGGACUGGUAUGAAUGAAUUAAUGGGUAUCAUUUUUAUUAAUUAUAUUUUUUUAAUUUUAUUUUUAAGUUAAAAAGCUUAAUUAAAUAUUAGGGACGAUAAGACCCUAUAGAACUUUUUAAAUUAAAUUUUAUUUUAUAUUUAGUUAAGGUUUAUUUAUUAAAUUUUAUUUUAUUUUAUUGGGGUGGUAGAUAAAUUUAAACUUUAUCUUUAAAGUUCAUUAAUUUAUGUUUUUAUGAUCCUAUGUUAGAUUAAAAGAUUAAGUUACCUUAGGGAUAACAGCGUAAUUUUAAUGGAAAGUUCAUAUUUAUAUUAAAGUUUGCGACCUCGAUGUUGAAUUAAGGUUAAAUUUGGGGGUAGGUUUUCAAAUUUUAAGUCUGUUCGACUUUUAAAUUCUUACGUGAUCUG
rnacentral:rRNA from 1 species